CCUACGGGUGGCAGCAGUAAGGAAUAUUGCUCAAUGGGGGAAACCCUGAAGCAGCAACGCCGCGUGGAGGAUGAAGGUUUUCUGAUUGUAAACUCCUUUUGUUAGAGAAGAUAAUGACGGUAUCUAACGAAUAAGCACCGGCUAACUCCGUGCCAGCAGCCGCGGUAAUACGGAGGGUGCAAGCGUUACUCGGAAUCACUCGACGGAAAGAGCGCGUAGGCGGGAUAGCAAGUCAGAUGUGAAAUCGUAUGGCUUAACCAUAGAACUGCAUUUGAAACUGUUAUUCUAGAGUAUGGGAGAGGUAGGUGGAAUGCGUGGUGUAGGGGUAAAAUCCGUAGAGAUCAAGAGGAAUACUCAUUGCGAAGGCGACCUGCUGGAACAUAACUGACGCUGAUGCGCGAAAGCGUGGGGAGCGAACAGGAUUAGAUACCCCGGUAGUC
rnacentral:rRNA from 1 species